ACUGAACGCUGGCGGCAGGCUUAACACAUGCAAGUCGAGCGGAGCGAGGGUGCUUGCACCUUAGCUUAGCGGCGGACGGGUGAGUAAUGCUUAGGAAUCUGCCUAUUAGUGGGGGACAACAUUCCGAAAGGGAUGCUAAUACCGCACACGCCCUACGGGGGAAAGCAGGGGAUCUUCGGACCUUGCGCGAACAGAGGAGCGUAAGUCGGAUUAGCUAGUUGGUGGGGUAAAGUCCUACCAAGGCGACGAUCUGUAGCGGGUCUGAGAGGAUGAUCCGCCACACUGGGACUGAGACACGGCCCAGACUCCUACGGGAGGCAGCAGUGGGGAAUAUUGGACAAUGGGCGGAAGCCUGAUCCAGCCAUGCCGCGUGUGUGAAGAAGGCCUUUUGGUUGUAAAGCACUUUAAGCGAGGAGGAGGCUACUAGUAUUAAUACUACUGGAUAGUGGACGUUACUCGCAGAAUAAGCACCGGCUAACUCUGUGCCAGCCGCCGCCGUAA
rnacentral:rRNA from 1 species